rnacentral:tRNA from 1 species
GGCUUGCUGGUCUAGUGGUAUGAUUCUCGCUUUGGGUGCGAGAGGUCACGGGUUCGAUUCCCGUGCCAGCCC